rnacentral:rRNA from 1 species
UACGAAGGGGGCUAGCGUUGCUCGGAAUUACUGGGCGUAAAGGGUGCGUAGGCGGGUCUUUAAGUCAGAGGUGAAAUCCUGGAGCUCAACUCCAGAACUGCCUUUGAUACUGAGGAUCUUGAGUUCGGGAGAGGUGAGUGGAACUGCGAGUGUAGAGGUGAAAUUCGUAGAUAUUCGCAAGAACACCAGUAGCGAAGGCGGCUUACUGGUCCGGUUCUGACGCUGAGGCGCGAAAGCGUGGGGAGCAAACAGG